rnacentral:rRNA from 1 species
UACGUAGGUGGCAAGCGUUAUCCGGAAUUAUUGGGCGUAAAGCGCGCGCAGGCGGUUUCUUAAGUCUGAUGUGAAAGCCCACGGCUCAACCGUGGAGGGUCAUUGGAAACUGGGAAUCUUGAGUGCAGAAGAGAAGAGUGGAAUUCCACGUGUAGCGGUGAAAUGCGUAGAGAUGUGGAGGAACACCAGUGGCGAAGGCGACUCUUUGGUCUGUAACUGACGCUGAGGCGCGAAAGCGUGGGGAGCAAACAGG